rnacentral:rRNA from 1 species
GACGAACGCUGGCGGCGUGCUUAACACAUGCAAGUCGAACGAAGUGGCGAACGGGUGAGUAACGCGUAAGCAACCUGCCCUUCAGAGGGGGACAACAGUGGGAAACGACUGCUAAUACCGCAUACUGAUGGAGGGGAAUGCGUCUGAUUAGCUAGUGGGAGGGGUAACGGCCCACCAAGGCGAUGAUCAGUAGCCGGUCUGAGAGGAUGAACGGCCACAUUGGGACUUAGACACCGCCCCGACUCCGACGGGAGGCAGCAAUUGGGAAUCAUUCGCAAUGGACGAAAGUCUGACGGAGCAACGCCGGGUGAUUGAUGACGGCCUUCGGGUUGUAAAGCUCUGUUAAUCGGGACGCGGUACCGGCAUAGAAAGCCACGGCUAACUACGUGCCAGCAGCCGCGGUAAUUC